rnacentral:rRNA from 2 species
GUCGAACGAACUCUGGUAUUGAUUGGUGCUUGCAUCAUGAUUUACAUUUGAGUGAGUGGCGAACUGGUGAGUAACACGUGGGAAACCUGCCCAGAAGCGGGGGAUAACACCUGGAAACAGAUGCUAAUACCGCAUAACAACUUGGACCGCAUGGUCCGAGUUUGAAAGAUGGCUUCGGCUAUCACUUUUGGAUGGUCCCGCGGCGUAUUAGCUAGAUGGUGGGGUAACGGCUCACCAUGGCAAUGAUACGUAGCCGACCUGAGAGGGUAAUCGGCCACAUUGGGACUGAGACACGGCCCAAACUCCUACGGGAGGCAGCAGUAGGGAAUCUUCCACAAUGGACGAAAGUCUGAUGGAGCAACGCCGCGUGAGUGAAGAAGGGUUUCGGCUCGUAAAACUCUGUUGUUAAAGAAGAACAUAUCUGAGAGUAACUGUUCAGGUAUUGACGGUAUUUAACCAGAAAGCCACGGCUAACUACGUGCCAGCAGCCGCGGUAAUACGUAGGUGGCAAGCGUUGUCCGGAUUUAUUGGGCGUAAAGCGAGCGCAGGCGGUUUUUUAAGUCUGAUGUGAAAGCCUUCGGCUCAACCGAAGAAGUGCAUCGGAAACUGGGAAACUUGAGUGCAGAAGAGGACAGUGGAACUCCAUGUGUAGCGGUGAAAUGCGUAGAUAUAUGGAAGAACACCAGUGGCGAAGGCGGCUGUCUGGUCUGUAACUGACGCUGAGGCUCGAAAGUAUGGGUAGCAAACAGGAUUAGAUACCCUGGUAGUCCAUACCGUAAACGAUGAAUGCUAAGUGUUGGAGGGUUUCCGCCCUUCAGUGCUGCAGCUAACGCAUUAAGCAUUCCGCCUGGGGAGUACGGCCGCAAGGCUGAAACUCAAAGGAAUUGACGGGGGCCCGCACAAGCGGUGGAGCAUGUGGUUUAAUUCGAAGCUACGCGAAGAACCUUACCAGGUCUUGACAUACUAUGCAAAUCUAAGAGAUUAGACGUUCCCUUCGGGGACAUGGAUACAGGUGGUGCAUGGUUGUCGUCAGCUCGUGUCGUGAGAUGUUGGGUUAAGUCCCGCAACGAGCGCAACCCUUAUUAUCAGUUGCCAGCAUUAAGUUGGGCACUCUGGUGAGACUGCCGGUGACAAACCGGAGGAAGGUGGGGAUGACGUCAAAUCAUCAUGCCCCUUAUGACCUGGGCUACACACGUGCUACAAUGGAUGGUACAACGAGUUGCGAACUCGCGAGAGUAAGCUAAUCUCUUAAAGCCAUUCUCAGUUCGGAUUGUAGGCUGCAACUCGCCUACAUGAAGUCGGAAUCGCUAGUAAUCGCGGAUCAGCAUGCCGCGGUGAAUACGUUCCCGGGCCUUGUACACACCGCCCGUCACACCAUGAGAGUUUGUAACACCCAAAGUCGGUGGGGUAACCUUUUAGGAACCAGCCGCC